rnacentral:lncRNA from 1 species
UUUGCUUCUGCAUUUAAAUCUUGAGCCUUGCUAAUACAGUGAGACCUUGAUGUUACUCAGACUGCUUCCGUGUGUCAUUCAUUGCAUAAGGUUCUCAUCUCUCUCUACCCCCCAUUUGGUUCUUAGUAGAAGGUACCCUCGAGACCCUCGAAUAACUGGACCUGCUGGAUGGGUCAAGUGGCGCCAGACGUGGGGCACGAGGUACGACCACCGUCCGGACAACGGAUUCAAGAGGUACCACUCAGACAGUGAGACAGUUCCCUGCCACUUUGCUCGAGUGUUGCGGACGUCGAGAGCGCAUCUGUUUCAGUUCAUUACCAUCGGCUGGAUGUUGGUGAUAACAAGCAGGUUACUGGAGAAGAGUCAGACGUGGAUGCAGCUUCAUCACCCUUGUCUUGGGGGAGAGAGACUCAAUUUCCAUAAAAUGCUUAAGCAAGAUCAUUCCCUUCCCCCUAAAUUCAGCCUCAUACCACGAAUCAUUUAUAGAUUGCCAUAGUCUGUGCUUCCGACAUGGUAAUAUACAUUCUCACCACAUUGGAAACUAAACAGUCAUCCCAGGCUAGACACAUCGUAAAAUUGGAACUUGAAGCCAUCGGCUGUGAGAGUUGUAAGGCUAAAGCACUGCACAGAGAUUAGUCUGGAAGCUGUUAGACAGUCUCUGAGAGGCAUGUCGGAUUGCAUGAAGGUUGAGUGCCCUAGGGUCCUUCCCCCAGGAAAAAAACGGCACGGGAGCAGGUCAGGGUUACUCUGGGUAAAAAUCUGUGGACCUGAGAGUCAAUCCUGUACAUGGCCCUUAACAUUGCACACUGGGGAUCAGACCUCUACCUCUACCCACGGAGCUUGCUUUGUUCCUAAAUCCCUUGGUUAGCCCAAGUUAUACCCAAAAGACUGGAACCGUUAAUUCAAGCCUCAUAGAUGACUUGUCCUUGUGUCCUUCAUGGUUUUAGAGAAUCACCCAGUGAACAAACAGACGUUUAGGCAGUCGUUAAAAACGUGGCUACAAAUUUAUUAUACAAUAUGCCUUUAUAAAAAUAUUAAAACAGGGGAGAUAUUGGGAGCUAUUAAGACAACACCAUUGUCCUGAUCUCUGAAUUGGGCCUCUCCCCCUGAGAAGAAAAGGGGGUCAAAAGCGGGCCACUGAUGCACCGUUCUGAGAACAACCACAGAAUGUUCCAGUCCUAAGUCAGUGCCAGAUGUCCUGACCUCAAGAUGUACCCUGAUACCGCCAAGUUCCUGCUUCCCCAUGUAGUCGCCAAAAGAAAAAUUUCUGCUGCCCCAUCCCUCCUGCUGAGGUGCAUUUCUGCUGCCCCAUUCCUCCUGCUGAGAAGUACUUCCCCUUUUGCUUGUGCAUUUAAACCUUGAGCCUUGCUAAUACAGUGAGACCUUGAUGUUACUCAGACUGCUUCUGUGUGUCGUUCAUUGCACAAGGUUCUCAUCUCUCUCUACCCCCCAUUUGGUUCUUAGUAGAAGGUCCCCUCGAGACCCUCGAAUAACUGGACCUGCUAGAUGGGUCAUGUUACAACUACCUUGCGGUCAUGUCUUUGUUUCAAAUGUUGUUAUGUUCAAUGUAUCAUGCUUAUGUUCUGCUUCUCUAACCCUGUCUAUUUUUGCCCCAUUUCAAAACCCUCUAUCCCUGAGCUAUAACCUUGUCUUCAUCAUGUCAAACACUGACCUCUUGAACCUGCCUUGUGCAACCCAAGUGCACAAGUAAAAAAUUUUGCUUUAAUCAAUUUGGCCAUGGUGACUUGGGUCUAUGGUCUUUCUCCUUCUUUGUAAUUAAAAAUAUCUCUCCCUAGCUGAACCUGUCGUUUAUUAUCGUUUGUUCAUUUGCUUGUUAGUUCUGCUUUCAUAUGGUUAUUUUGAAUAUUUUUAUUAA